AUUGAACGCUGGCGGCAGGCUUAACACAUGCAAGUCGAACGGUAACAUGAAGAAGCUUGCUUCUUUGAUGACGAGUGGCGGACGAGUGAGUAAUGCUUGGGAAUCUAGCUUAUGGAGGGGGAUAACUACGGGAAACUGUAGCUAAUACCGCGUAGUAUCGAGAGAUGAAAGUGUGGGACCUUCGGGCCACAUGCCAUAGGAUGAGCCCAAGUGGGAUUAGGUAGUUGGUGAGGUAAAGGCUCACCAAGCCGACGAUCUCUAGCUGGUCUGAGAGGAUGACCAGCCACACUGGGACUGAGACACGGCCCAGACUCCUACGGGAGGCAGCAGUGGGGAAUAUUGCGCAAUGGGGGCAACCCUGACGCAGCCAUGCCGCGUGAAUGAAGGAGGCCUUCGGGUUGUAAAGUUCUUUCGGUAGCGAGGAAGGCAUUUAGUUUAAUAGACUAGGUGAUUGAC
rnacentral:rRNA from 1 species